UCUUUUCCCAUUCCAUAAACGGCUCCUUCUUAUCCUCCUCCCCUGCUCAUACUCUUGCGAUUUUAUACUUUCUUUAUCAUCAUCGCUGGUCAGCCGAUGGACUUCAAUUCCUCCUUUCUCUAGUUCUACAUCUUCCAACAAAGCAUCGAUGGGGGUUGAAUGCAAAUGAGUUUCUAUCAAAGAAGAGAAAGUUGAUAUGUCGGAUCCACCAGGUAUUGUCUUACUUACAUCCGUCACUCUAAAGAAGAUGGUUGAAGGUGAAGUUUUGAUGAGUAACAUGGUCUCUGCGGGUGCAAAUGAGUGUCUGAGGCUUAAGAGAUGUCUUAGGUACAGACCAUGGGUACACUACAGUAAAUUAGGUGAUAGCUCGGAUGAGGAAUCUACAGAUCGACAACCUCAUCAGCAUCUUCCUCCGAGGCUGUGCCUUCCUAAAGGUGUUCUUCAUGGGUGUUUUAAGUGUACUAAUUUCGAAAAGGUCACGCCAAAGUGGUGUCCAGAAGAUGCAGAAAGGAGUUUAACGAUACACUUAAAUAUAUAAACAACAUACGUUCAAAGCAGAUCCAUAUAGAAUUUGCAUAAUAGUUCAUCCCUCUUCAUGGAGGCCUCACUUCCCUCAUACAUAACCUUUGUCUGGUUGAUGUUUUAUGGAUAUUUGUAUUAGUCUUGAAACCCAACAAUGAUGAAGUUGAUUGGAUAAUUAGCAAACAGAUUUGUUUUAAAAUAUGGGCACAUUGUUAAGGAUUGGUGGGUUAGUACUGGUUGAGCGAUUACAUAUGUUGAUAGAGCGUGAUUUACUUUUCUUUUGAACACCAAAUAGAGAUAAAACUUAUGUACCCUGGCUUCACUAUCACUUCUGAAAAUAUGUAUAGUUGUAACUGAGACAUAAAAUUUUAGUGUGAUUUGAAGGUUGUCAGUAAAUCGAACAUGUUUCGAGCAAUCUGUAAGGAGAAUUUGUUCCGCAGCUAGGUGCCAAUUGAAGACCUUUUACACACGUCCUUCUUAGACAAGUAAGUUUGUUCAACUCUCUUAUUGCGUACACUCCCCUUACCCGUACAAAACCUUUAUUAGUUUUUAUGAAUGAUAAUGGUGGUUUGUUUAAGUGUUCCAUGUCAUCUAUCUUGAUAUCAAAUUUGUAUUGGAAGAUGGCUGAACCAGAAUGCUUUUCCUGGGAAGACAACUUUGUCAACGAAUCAGAAUGGUACUUUAGGGAAUACAAUGAACGGAUUACAUAAACUAAUUUUUUUUCCUUCACUUAAACUUUAGUACUCCAUUUGACUGGUUGCAUCUGUUGCAUAAGGCAGGUAACACAUCCUCUAAGUGAUAGAAACAACUUAACCAACUCCGAGUCGAAGAUGAUGACUGCACUUGUAGUGUGACAGAGAUGAUAAUUGGUUCAGCGUUAUUGAGAAGGUUGAUAUUUAACAGCAUCCUCAUCUACAUUAUUGGUAAUGAUGCAAAUCUUCUAUCUUCAUAGACAUGGAUGUUGCCAAGUCAAGGAAACUAUUCAGAUGGAACUUAUUUAAUGUUUCAAAGUGGUCAUUUCCCUGAGGUUGUUGUAGAGAACACAAAAGUUCAGAUGUAAAAGGAUGAGGAUUUAUUGAUCAGUCAGUAUAGGAAGCACCUCUGGAUGCACAAUUUGGAGUUCUGAUUGUCUCUCAAUCCACACACUUGGUAGAGGUGAUUGACUCUCGAUCCACACAAUUUGGAGUUCUGAUUGACCUUGUCUUUACUGCAUCCUUGAACCUGAACUUCAGAAAUUUACUGAAAUUUUCUUUCUUUUGGUUGUUCAUAUCAUUCUUUAGUAACUUCAGAAAUGUUUCUUGGAAGCUAUUAUCUUCUCAUUAUUUAAAAAUUGAACUUGGUUGUAUGUCUAGACUGGAAUGGAAGACUUUGUUGUUUAGUGCGCACUCCAACCCAAACCACAUUUCAGAAUUUUCAGUUUCCACCUAUCAAAACAUGUCUUCUUUGUAUGGGCUUUAGACCCGAGUCUGGGAGAUUUAGAUUGACUGGGCUUUUACCUUCUAGGCAGGUUUCCCUGAUACAACAAACAAAAUCUACAUCCCGCUAUGGUGUUUUUCUUGGAUCAUCCCUCAUUUCUUGGAUCUCUAAGAAACAGCCAACUAUGUCCAAGUCCAGCAUAGAAGCAUAAUACAAGGCUCUAUCACUAUUGGCAGUUGAGGUUACGUGGUUUUCAAUUCUACCUUCGUCAAUGUUCCUUUGUCCGCGGAUAUCCCCGCACCUAUGGAAAAUGUCAUUGCUUCUGCUUCUGCGGAUAUUACCGCUUCAAUGGAGACUCUUACUGCUCAUGCCUCUGCGAAGAUUACCUCUCCUUCAGUAAUGGGCAAAGCUCCCUCUACAUUAACAGACUCUUCUUCCCUUUCUUCUAAAUUUUUUCCUCUUUCUCUAGAAUCCUUUCUAUUGAUAAGGAGAUUUUAGGAGGGAUGAGUUCCACUUCUCAAGCUUUAUCUGAGCUCAUAGACUCUGUUCUCUCAUCCUCUGAUGACCCCUUUAAGCUUCACAUCUGUAGCGCUCUGAAGAAAUUGGUGAGCGAUUCUCCACCCAAUAAACCAACCAAGAGCGAAAUCUUCUCUAAAAGUCGAUUCAAGCGUGCAUAUUCUUCUGGAUAUCUUGGAAGCUCGUCGUCGCAUGAUUUUAGCUGAAGGCUAUUUUGAAUCUCGUAAUUCCACAAUGGAACUCUCUCAUCAGAACACCAUCCUAAGAAAUGAAAUUAAAAAAUUGAAAGGAGAGCUUCAGACCGCAACUUUCGAAUCUGAUGAUCUUCGUAAGAGGAAUCAAGACCUAAGAGGUGCCCUUCUUUUUUCCUUUAUACUUUUCUCUUUUUGUAAUAGGCUUUUCCUAUCCAUGUUUUUGGAAUUUCU